UGCAAGUCGAACGGUAACAGGCCCUUCGGGGUGCUGACGAGUGGCGGACGGGUGAGUAAUACUUAGGAAUCUACCUGGUUGUGGGGGAUAACCCGGGGAAACUCGGGCUAAUACCGCAUACGUCCCUCUGUCUUUGUGGCAGGGGGGGAAAGCGGGGGACCUUCGGGCCUCGCGCUAUCAGAUGAGCCUAAGUCCGAUUAGCUAGUUGGUAGGGUAAUGGCUUACCAAGGCGACGAUCGGUAGCUGGUCUGAGAGGACGACCAGCCACACUGGGACUGAGACACGGCCCAGACUCCUACGGGAGGCAGCAGUGGGGAAUAUUGGACAAUGGGCGAAAGCCUGAUCCAGCGAUGCCGCGUGUGUGAAGAAGGCCUGCGGGUUGUAAAGCACUUUCAGUAGGGAAGAAAAGCCGAGUGCCAAUACCACUCGGUCUUGACGUUACCUAAAGAAGAAGCACCGGCUAACUCCGUGCCAGCAGCCGCGGUAAUACGGAGGGUGCGAGCGUUAAUCGGAAUUACUGGGCGUAAAGGGCGCGUAGGCGGUGAAGUAAGUCGGGUGUGAAAGCCCCGGGCUCAACCUGGGAACUGCAUUCGAUACUGCUUCGCUAGAGUAUGGUAGAGGGAAGCGGAAUUCCGGGUGUAGCGGUGAAAUGCGUAGAUAUCCGGAGGAACACCAGUGGCGAAGGCGGCUUCCUGGACCAAUACUGACGCUGAGGCGCGAAAGCGUGGGGAUCAAACAGGAUUAGAUACCCUGGUAGUCCACGCCCUAAACGAUGAGAACUAGCCGUUGGAGGAAAUUAGUCCUUUAGUGGCGCAGCUAACGCGAUAAGUUCUCCGCCUGGGGAGUACGACCGCAAGGUUAAAACUCAAAGGAAUUGACGGGGGCCCGCACAAGCGGUGGAGCAUGUGGUUUAAUUCGAUGCAAC
rnacentral:rRNA from 1 species